rnacentral:rRNA from 1 species
GAUGAACGCUAGCGGUAGGCCUAACACAUGCAAGCCGAGCGGAAUUUCUUGGUUCUCUUUCUACCUAACAAUGAGACCGGCGUACGGGUACGUAGCACGUGUGCUACCUGCCUUUAUCUGAUGAAUACCCUUUCGCAAGGCAGAUUAAUACCCCAUAACAUAUUCAUUUGCAUCAGUUGAUAUUGAAAGCUCCGGCGUAUCGAGAUGGGCACGCGUAAGCUUAGCUAGUUGGUGAUGUAAUGGCUCCCCAAGGCUGCGAUCUUUCGCGGGCAUGAGAGGGUGAUCCCCCACACUGGUACUGAGACACGGACCAGAAUCCUACGGGAGGCAGCAGUGAGGAAUAUUGGACAAUGGGUGAGAGCCUGAUCCAGCCAUCCCGCGUGAAGGAGUAAGGACAUAUGGUUUGUAAACUUCUUGUAUACAGGGAUAAACCUACUCUCGAGAGGGUAGCUGAAGGUACUGUAUGAAUAAGCACCGGCUAACUACGUG